rnacentral:rRNA from 1 species
GAACGCUAGCGGCAGGCUUAACACAUGCAAGUCGAGGGGUAUGCCGAUUUAUCGGCAGAGACCGGCGCACGGGUGCGUAACGCGUAUGCAAUCUACCUUUCACAGAGGGAUAGCCCAGAGAAAUUUGGAUUAAUACCUCAUAGUAUAGCAGUUUCGCAUGAAACCACUAUUAAAGUUCCAACGGUGAAAGAUGAGCAUGCGUCCCAUUAGCUAGUUGGUAAGGUAACGGCUUACCAAGGCUACGAUGGGUAGGGGUCCUGAGAGGGAGAUCCCCCACACUGGUACUGAGACACGGACCAGACUCCUACGGGAGGCAGCAGUGAGGAAUAUUGGACAAUGGGCGCAAGCCUGAUCCAGCCAUGCCGCGUGCAGGAUGACGGUCCUAUGGAUUGUAAACUGCUUUGUACAAGAAGAAACACUACUUCGUGAAGUAGCUUGACGGUACUGUAAGAAUAAGGAUCGGCUAACUCCGUG